rnacentral:lncRNA from 1 species
AAAAAACUUUUCUUUCCUUUCUUGUUGUGCAGGGAUUUCUUUUAAGAGGUAUUUGUUGUUUUUGUUCCUAGUUAUACUAAAAAAGUUUAUUAAAUUUUGAGGAAUACACUAACAUUAUUUAUUUGGAUAUAGGCAAAAUAUCCUAAGAACAAUAUUCUUGACGCACCUCAAGCUAUUUUAUUCUCCAUAAUCAUCUUAUUUUUUCAACAAAAUCAACAUUUCUAGGGUGUUUUCUAACUUCAGACUUUGACAGCCCUUCCCUUGGAUUGUAGUUAUGAAGACGAUCGGCUUAGCUUCCUCCAGAGGCAUAUUCGAGAAGUAAGUUGCAACGAUCCAGAACGAUUGAGAAUGCAAGAUUUAACAUUUUAACUGCAAUGGAGGUGGAAGACGUUCUAACACUCUACAUUAAAAUUAGGGUUUGUUCUUAAACAAAGACGACGAAGUUUAGAACUGAGCAACUUGAUUUUCUGUUAAUAUAUUUUAAUAUAUUUCAUUAUAUUCAUUGUAAUUCAAUGUAAUUCGUUGUACUCCAUGUAUUUCAUUGUAUUCACUGUCUUUUUUUCCUCAUUGUAUUUCAAUGUAUCUCCUUGUAUUCUAUGUAUUUCAUUGUAUUCACUGUCUCACUAUA